AACGAACGCUGGCGGCAUGCCUAACACAUGCAAGUCGAACGAGAACUUCGGGUCUAGUGGCGCACGGGUGCGUAACGCGUGGGAACCUGCCCUUAGGUUCGGAAUAACUCCCCGAAAGGGGUGCUAAUACCGGAUAAUGUCUUCGGCCCAAAGAUUUAUCGCCUUUGGUUGGGCCCGCGUUGGAUUAGCUUGUUGGUAGGGUAAAAGCCUACCAAGGCGACGAUCCAUAGCUGGUCUGAGAGGAUGAUCAGCCACACUGGGACUGAGACACGGCCCAGACUCCUACGGGAGGCAGCAGUGGGGAAUAUUGGACAAUGGGCGAAAGCCUGAUCCAGCAAUGCCGCGUGAGUGAUGAAGGCCUUAGGGUUGUAAAGCUCUUUUACCCGGGAUGAUAAUGACAGUACCGGGAGAAUAAGCUCCGGCUAACUCCGUG
rnacentral:rRNA from 1 species